rnacentral:rRNA from 1 species
CAGCGUAGGGCGCAAGCGUUGUCCGGAAUUAUUGGGCGUAAAGAGCUCGUAGGCGGUCUGUUGCGUCCGCUGUGAAAACUCGGGGCUUAACCCCGAGCCUGCAGUGGAUACGGGCAGACUAGAGGUAGGUAGGGGAGAAUGGAAUUCCCGGUGUAGCGGUGAAAUGCGCAGAUAUCGGGAGGAACACCGGUGGCGAAGGCGGUUCUCUGGGCCUUACCUGACGCUGAGGAGCGAAAGCGUGGGGAGCGAACAGG